UACGGAAGGCAGCAGUGGGGAAUAUUGCACAAUGGGCGAAAGCCUGAUGCAGCUAUGCCGCGCGUAUGAAGAAGGCCUUAGGGUUGUAAAGUACUUUCAUCGGGGAGGAAAAAACAAAACUAAUAAUUUUAUUUCUUGACGUUACCCGAAAAAGAAGCACCGGCUAACUCCGUGCCAGCAGCCGCGGUAAUACGGAGGGUGCUAGCGUUAAUCAGAAUUACUGGGCGUAAAGAGCACGUAGGUGGUUUUUUUAAGUCAGAUGUGAAAUCCCUGGGCUUAACCUAGGAACUGCAUUUUGAAACUGAAAUACUAGAGUAUCGUAGAGGGAGGUAGAAUUCUAGGUGUAGCGGUGAAAUGCGUAGAUAUCUGGAGGAAUACCUGUGGCGAAAGCGGCCUCCUAAACGAAUACUGACACUGAGGUGCGAAAGCGUGGGGAGCAAACAGGGAUUAGAUACC
rnacentral:rRNA from 1 species